rnacentral:rRNA from 1 species
UACAUGGGGUGCAAACGUUGCUCGGAAUUAUUGGGCGUAAAGCGCACGUAGGCGGUUCGUUAAGUCGGAUGUGAAAGCCCUCGGCUCAACUGAGGAAGUGCACCCGAAACUGGCGAGCUUGAGUACGAAAGAGGAUCGCGGAAUUCCCGGUGUAGAGGUGAAAUUCGUAGAUAUCGGGAGGAACACCGGUGGCGAAGGCGGCGAUCUGGGUCGAUACUGACGCUGAGGUGCGAAAGCGUGGGGAGCAACAGGG